rnacentral:rRNA from 1 species
CCCUUAGAUGUCCUGGGCCGCACGCGCGUUACACUGAUGCAUUCAACGAGCUUAUAACCUUGGCCGAGAGGCCUGGGCAAUCUUGUUAACGUGCAUCGUGAUAGGGAUAGAUUAUUGAAAUUAUUAAUCUUGAACGAGGAAUUCCUAGUAAACGCAGAUCAUCAAUCUGCAUUGAUUACGUCCCUGCCCUUUGUACACACCGCCCGUCGCUACUACCGAUUGAACGGUUUAGUGAGGACCUCGGAUUGGUCUCGGCCCGCUCUUUACCGGGCGGCGCCGUUGGUCGAGAAGACGCUCGAACUUGAUCGUUUAGAGGAAGUAAAAGUCGUAACA